GGAAAUACAUGGAGUCAGACAAGUGAAAGCCCUUUUCAGGGAGUUCGGUGAAGCAUGCCCAUAGUUUUUUUCCCUAAUGUAGUAUCUAUUGUUAGGUAAUGAUGUUCCAGGUGUGGAAUUAGCCUUCGGGGACUCAGGCUGAGUGAAGAAAAGCAAAGGGAAAACUGAACCACAGAAACCAUCGAGCUACUAUUUCUCUUGUCUAAGGUUACAACUCCUGAGAAGAGAUCAAUCCCUCUGAAGUACCCUAAUUGAGGAUCAAUGCAGACCAAGGAUCAACUCAGACACUUGCCUGACAGGGGCAUCAGUUUUAUGCUGUACUGAUUCCUUCUGGCAUCUGCAGGAUUGCUGCUUUUCAUGUGAGCCAAGAUGCUGCCAGACCUGAUGAGCUUUCCCAGCAACUUCAGUUAUUGUUCCUGAUUUACAGCAUCUGCAGUUCUUUUCGUUUUUAUGGACUAUAUCUUGUUAAUUUUAGGAGAGCCCUCAAGUUAGACAAUUUUCCCCUACUCCUCAUAUGAAUGAGGUGAUGCUUCAUGUAUUACGGGGCCACGAACGCCAGAUGGUUUCCGGAUUCACACCCAUGUGAACCUUGACUGACAACAGUGCAAAGAGAAAGCUCUUGGUCCAAAAAAAUCCAAGCUAUCAAAUUUCAAGCAGGAUAAAUCAGAG